rnacentral:rRNA from 1 species
AAUGAAGUUGAGUGCUUGCAUUUAACUGAUUUGACAUUAAGACGAGUGGCGAACUGGUGAGUAACACGUGGGUAACUUGCCCCGAAGCGGGGGAUAACAUUUGGAAACAGGUGCUAAUACCGCAUAACAACAAAAACCACAUGGUUUUUGUUUAAAAGAUGGUUUCGGCUAUCACUUUGGGAUGGACCCGCGGCGUAUUAGCUAGUUGGUGAGGUAAUGGCUCACCAAGGCAAUGAUACGUAGCCGACCUGAGAGGGUAAUCGGCCACAUUGGGACUGAGACACGGCCCAAACUCCUACGGGAGGCAGCAGUAGGGAAUCUUCCACAAUGGACGAAAGUCUGAUGGAGCAACGCCGCGUGAGUGAUGAAGGGUUUCGGCUCGUAAAACUCUGUUGUUGGAGAAGAACGGGUGUCAGAGUAACUGUUGACAUCGUGACGGUAUCCAACCAGAAAGCCACGGNUAACUACGUGCCACAGGCGGGGUAANUACAA